UGGCUUGAAAAUGCCAAAAACUGGUGUAAACCCAACAGAAAGGUCUUGAAACUCAUCAAAAAUGGGUUGGAAACCACAAAAAAUUGGUUCAAACUCAACAGAAAAGUCUUGAACCCACCAAAACCUGAUAUAAACCCAACAGAAAGCUCUUGAAACUAUCAAAAAAUCGGUUUGCA